rnacentral:rRNA from 1 species
AUGCUUCUCCUAAAGACUAAGCCAUGCAUGCCUUCGAAUACGAGGAAGCAAUUCUCUCUGAGUCUGCGAACGGCUCCGCAAACCAGUUGUAAACUAUAGCAAGCAAGUCCGGGGCUUUCGGGCUCCGGACAACAUGGAUAACCCUGGUAAUUCUGAGGCUAAUACAAGAACGUAAUACCUGGCUAACCGGGCAACUGGAAGGCUGGGAGGUGUGUGAUCUAGCACGAGGAAUCUGCUGGGAAUAGACA